UUCGCCCUUAGAGUUUGAUCCUGGCUCAGGACGAACGCUGGCGGCGCGCCUAACACAUGCAAGUCGAACGAGCGAGAGAGAGCUUGCUUUCUCGAGCGAGUGGCGAACGGGUGAGUAACGCGUGAGGAACCUACCUCAAAGAGGGGGACAACAGUUGGAAACGACUGCUAAUACCGCAUAAGCCCACGGCUCGGCAUCGAGCAGAGGGAAAAGGAGCAAUCCGCUUUGAGAUGGCCUCGCGUCCGAUUAGCUAGUUGGUGAGGUAAUGGCCCACCAAGGCAACGAUCGGUAGCCGGACUGAGAGGUUGAACGGCCACAUUGGGACUGAGACACGGCCCAGACUCCUACGGGAGGCAGCAGUGGGGAAUAUUGCACAAUGGGGGAAACCCUGAUGCAGCGACGCCGCGUGGAGGAAGAAGGUCUUCGGAUUGUAAACUCCUGUUGUUGAGGAAGAUAAUGACGGUACUCAACAAGGAAGUGACGGCUAACUACGUGCCAGCAGCCGCGGUAAAACGUAGGUCACAAGCGUUGUCCGGAAUUACUGGGUGUAAAGGGAGCGCAGGCGGGAAGACAAGUUGGAAGUGAAAUCUAUGGGCUCAACCCAUAAACUGCUUUCAAAACUGUUUUUCUUGAGUAGUGCAGAGGUAGGCGGAAUUCCCGGUGUAGCGGUGGAAUGCGUAGAUAUCGGGAGGAACACCAGUGGCGAAGGCGGCCUACUGGGCACCAACUGACGCUGAGGCUCGAAAGUGUGGGUAGCAAACAGGAUUAGAUACCCUGGUAGUCCACACCGUAAACGAUGAUUACUAGGUGUUGGAGGAUUGACCCCUUCAGUGCCGCAGUUAACACAAUAAGUAAUCCACCUGGGGAGUACGACCGCAAGGUUGAAACUCAAAGGAAUUGGCGGGGGCCCGCACAAGCAGUGGAGUAUGUGGUUUAAUUCGACGCAACGCGAAGAACCUUACCAAGUCUUGACAUCCUGCGACGAUGCUGGAAACAGUAUUUUCCUUCGGGACGCAGAGACAGGUGGUGCAUGGUUGUCGUCAGCUCGUGUCGUGAGAUGUUGGGUUAAGUCCCGCAACGAGCGCAACCCUUACUGUCAGUUACUACGCAAGAGGACUCUGGCAGGACUGCCGUUGACAAAACGGAGGAAGGUGGGGAUGACGUCAAAUCAUCAUGCCCUUUAUGACUUGGGCUACACACGUACUACAAUGGCGUUAAACAAAGAGAAGCAAGACCGCGAGGUGGAGCAAAACUCAGAAACAACGUCCCAGUUCGGACUGCAGGCUGCAACUCGCCUGCACGAAGUCGGAAUUGCUAGUAAUCGUGGAUCAGCAUGCCACGGUGAAUACGUUCCCGGGCCUUGCACUCACCGCCCGUCA
rnacentral:rRNA from 1 species